CAUGCAAGUCGAACGAUGAAGCCUAGCUUGCUGGGUGGAUUAGUGGCGAACGGGUGAGUAACACGUGAGCAACCUGCCCCUGACUCUGGGAUAAGCGCUGGAAACGGCGUCUAAUACUGGAUAUGUCCCAUCACCGCAUGGUGUGUGGGUGGAAAGAUUUUUCGGUUGGGGAUGGGCUCGCGGCCUAUCAGCUUGUUGGUGAGGUAAUGGCUCACCAAGGCGUCGACGGGUAGCCGGCCUGAGAGGGUGACCGGCCACACUGGGACUGAGACACGGCCCAGACUCCUACGGGAGGCAGCAGUGGGGAAUAUUGCACAAUGGGCGGAAGCCUGAUGCAGCAACGCCGCGUGAGGGAUGACGGCCUUCGGGUUGUAAACCUCUUUUAGCAGGGAAGAAGCGAGAGUGACGGUACCUGCAGAAAAAGCACCGGCUAACUACGUGCCAGCAGCCGCGGUAAUACGUAGGGUGCAAGCGUUAUCCGGAAUUAUUGGGCGUAAAGAGCUCGUAGGCGGUCUGUCGCGUCUGCUGUGAAAUUCCGAGGCUCAACCUCGGGCUUGCAGUGGGUACGGGCAGACUAGAGUGCGGUAGGGGAGAUUGGAAUUCCUGGUGUAGCGGUGGAAUGCGCAGAUAUCAGGAGGAACACCGAUGGCGAAGGCAGAUCUCUGGGCCGUAACUGACGCUGAGGAGCGAAAGGGUGGGGAGCAAACAGGCUUAGAUACCCUGGUAGUCCACCCCGUAAACGUUGGGAACUAGUUGUGGGGUCCUUUCCACGGAUUCCGUGACGCAGCUAACGCAUUAAGUUCCCCGCCUGGGGAGUACGGCCGCAAGGCUAAAACUCAAAGGAAUUGACGGGGACCCGCACAAGCGGCGGAGCAUGCGGAUUAAUUCGAUGCAACGCGAAGAACCUUACCAAGGCUUGACAUACACGAGA
rnacentral:rRNA from 1 species